rnacentral:lncRNA from 1 species
AUUAGAUCAAAAUAAAAUUGAACAAAACUAAAUAAAGUCGAACACAAAAGACAAAAGUGAAUAAUCAAAAUUAGAACAAAAUAGAAUAAAAUAAAAAGUUAUAAAACCUAAUUAUAUAAAUAAAUAGGAUUUGAAGCCAUAUUUGACCAGAUAUUCUAAAAGGCCUUGGCUAAUCCUAUUUAUACUUUUUUCUACCACCUUAGAGUUUCUAGAAUGUUCCUAGAUGA